GUCUACAGCCAUACCACCCUGAGCGCACCCCAUGUUGUCUGAUCUCAGAAGCUAAGUAGGGUCAGGACUGGUUAAUACUUGGAUGGGAGAAAAUGAAGGUCAGGCA
rnacentral:rRNA from 1 species